AUUCGGCAAAAUACCCCCGUAACUUCGGGAGAAGGGGGGCCCAGAGGGUGAAGAAGACUUGCUCUUCUAGCCUGAACGGCCGCAGAGACCAGGGAGAAGCGACUGUUUACUAAAAACACAGGUCCGUGCCAAGUCGCAAGACGAUGUAUACGGACUGACGCCUGCCCGGUGCUGGAACGUUAAGGGGACCGGUUAGCCUCACGGCGAAGCUGAGAACUUAAGCGCCAGUAAACGGCGGUGGUAACUAUAACCAUCCUAAGGUAGCGAAAUUCCUUGUCGGGUAAGUUCCGACCUGCACGAAUGGCGUAACGACUUCUCCACUGUCUCAACCACGAACUCGGCGAAAUUGCACUACGAGUAAAGAUGCUCGUUACGCGCAGAAGGACGGAAAGACCCCGGGACCUUUACUACAGCUUGGUAUUGGUGUUCGGUACGGCUUGUGUAGGAUAGGUGGGAGACUGUGAAGCUGAUACGCCAGUAUCGGUGGAGUCAACGUUGAAAUACCACUCUGGUCGUUCUGGAUAUCUAACCUCGGUCCGUGAUCCGGAUCAGGGACAGUGCCUGGUGGGUAGUUUAACUGGGGCGGUUGCCUCCUAAAAGGUAACGGAGGCGCCCAAAGGUUCCCUCAGCCUGGUUGGCAAUCAGGUUUUGAGUGUAAGUGCACAAGGGAGCUUGACUGUGAGAGUGACAACUCGAACAGGGACGAAAGUCGGGACUAGUGAUCCGGCGGUGGCUUGUGGAAGCGCCGUCGCUCAACGGAUAAAAGGUACCCCGGGGAUAACAGGCUGAUCUUGCCCAAGAGUCCAUAUCGACGGCAUGGUUUGGCACCUCGAUGUCGGCUCGUCGCAUCCUGGGGCUGGAGUAGGUCCCAAGGGUUGGGCUGUUCGCCCAUUAAAGCGGUACGCGAGCUGGGUUUAGAGCGUCGUGAGACAGUUCGGUCCCUAUCCUCUGCGCGCGCAGGAAACUUGAGAAGGGCUGUCCCUAGUACGAGAGGACCGGGAUGGACGAACCUCUGGUGUGUCAGUUGUUCUGCCAAGAGCACCGCUGAUUAGCUACGUUCGGAAGUGAUAACCGCUGAAAGCAUCUAAGCGGGAAGCAUGCUUCAAGAUGAGGUUUCCAUGGGGUUUACCCCGAGAGGCUCCCAGCUAGACUACUGGGUUGAUAGGCCGGAUGUGGAAGUGCGGUAACGCAUGGAGCUGACCGGUACUAAUAAGCCGAUAACUUGA
rnacentral:rRNA from 1 species